rnacentral:misc_RNA from 1 species
GUGAAUUUUUGCUUCCAGCGAGAUAUCCUGAUAAAAUUUAUCGAAACAAACUGUCUAUGACCUUUGUCAUUUUCAAGUAACCCAACAUCUCCAAAAAGUGUUAAAUCGCUUAAUUUUUAAACAGGAAAAUCCUGAUUCGUUUUGUCUACUUCUAAUUGUAAAAUAAAAUUUCUCCUCUGAUAUAUCCUAACAUCUGUGAAUAUUAACAACGACACCGUCAGAUCGUUUGUCAUUAAUUCUUCAAAAAUACAAUACUUCC